AUACGUAGGUGACAAGCGUUAUCCGGAUUUACUGGGCGUAAAGGGCGUGUAGGCGGUCUUGCAAGUCAGAAGUGAAAUUCCUGAGCUCAACUCGGGCGCUGCUUCUGAAACUGCAGGACUUGAGUGCUGGAGGGGAUAGCGGAAUUCCUAGUGGAGCGGUAAAAUGCGCAGAUAUUAGGAAGAACACCGGUGGCGAAGGCGGCUAUCUGGACAGUAACUGACGCUGAGGCGCCAAAGCGUGGGGAGCAAACAGGAUGAGAUACCCUGGUAGUCCACGCCGUAAGCGAUGAAUACUAGGUGUAGGGGGUAUCGACUCCCUCUGUGCCGCAGUUAACACAAUAAGUAUUCCGCCUGGGGAGUACGGCCGCAAGGUUGAAACUCAAAGGAAUUGACGGGG
rnacentral:rRNA from 1 species